UGGGGAAUAUUGCACAAUGGACGAAAGUCUGAUGCAGCAACGCCGCGUGCGGGAUGACGGCCUUCGGGUUGUAAACCGCUUUCAGUGCCGACGAAGCGAAAGUGACGGUAGGCGCAGAAGAAGGACCGGCCAACUACGUGCCAGCAGCCGCGGUGAUACGUAGGGUCCAAGCGUUGUCCGGAAUUAUUGGGCGUAAAGGGCUUGUAGGCGGUCUGCUGCGUCGGGAGUGAAAACUCAGGGCUUAACCCUGAGCCUGCUUCCGAUACGGGCAGACUAGAGGAAUGCAGGGGAGAAUGGAAUACCUGGUGGAGCGGUGGAAUGCGCAGAUAUCAGGUGGAACACCAGUGGCGAAGGCGGUUCUCUGGGCAUUUCCUGACGCUGAGAAGCGAAAGCGUGGGGAGCAAACAGG
rnacentral:rRNA from 1 species